GGCCCGAGAGGACGACCGGCCACACUGGGACUGAGACACGGCCCAGACUCCUACGGGAGGCAGCAGUGGGGAAUAUUGCACAAUGGGCGCAAGCCUGAUGCAGCGACGCCGCGUGAGGGAUGACGGCCUUCGGGUUGUAAACCUCUUUCAGCAGGGAAGAAGCGCAAGUGACGGUACCUGCAGAAGAAGCACCGGCUAACUACGUGCCAGCAGCCGCGGUAAUACGUAGGGUGCGAGCGGCGUCCGGAAUUAUUGGGCGUAAAGAGCUCGUAGGCGGCCUGUCACGUCGGAUGUGAAAGCCCCGGGCUUAACCCCGGGUCGGCAUUCGAUACGGGCAGGCUGGAGUUCGGCAGG
rnacentral:rRNA from 1 species